rnacentral:misc_RNA from 1 species
CCCCUAGCCGCCACAACCUUUCUCCCUCUCCUCCUUUCAGCCGACGCACACAGCCACUUCUCGCUGUUCACAAGCGCAUGGAGCAGCUGCGGCUCCACCUCCCUGCUCCUCUCUCCGUGGUGACGUCCAGCACCUUUCCAUGGACGCCUCCCUCCCCAAGCUCCAAGGCGCACAGGGCAGCAGCACCUUCAUUCCCCAUGGAUCCAUGGUGCUGGGAGUUUUUUCCCCAUUGCUAGAAUUUGUUGCAGCCUUCCCAUGCACAGGUUCCAGCCAUGGCCGACCUCCUUUCUUCCUCCCUAUUCCCGGCAGUAGCACGCCAGCACAGGGACAACGACUUCCAUGGCCGGCGCCCCAAGCUCCAGCCCCUCCCUGCGAGCUCCCUCCUCCCGCUGCUCGGUACCCUGAGCUCCUGCUCUUCUCCCAUGGAGGGCGUCCAGAAAUUUUUCCAGCGCCUUCACUAUUCAUCUUCCUCCCAGCAGGCCCAGCUUGCUGUUCCCCUGCUCCAUGGCACCCCUGCAAUAUUCCCCUUCCUCCCCCUCGGCUCCCCCAUCCGGGCACCCAAGCAGCGCCUUUCCUUGCCCCUCUCUGUCCCCAGCGACAAGCAGCGGCACUCCCUCCCAAGGACAGCGCCCCUAUUUCCCUCUCUCGGCAGCGCAGCUCCUCGCAACCGAGCUUCCCCCGCAGCCCCUCAACAUCGACGUGUCAUAGGUGUUCGACGGAAUGCUCGUGGGAAAUAUUAUGUUGUACGCAGCAGCCCCGACGUCUUCGCGCGCUGUCGGCUCGCUGUUGCGUGAAGCCCAGUGGACAGCACGUCGUCGACGUUCACCGGUGGGUUGCUGUUUUUGCGCAGCCCCAAUGUCAUCGUCGUUCACCCCCGGAGGGGCACCCCGUGUUUUGCGAGGAGAAGGCAAGCCGCUCAACACUCGUCGGAUGUUCGGAGCGAUGCACAAAUCGGAAUCGUCAUCGUCCUUACAAACACCGAUUGGGUUUGUUUAUGGACCGAGAGAUGAUGAUCGUGCAAGUGAAGUGGUGCCAACCACAAGAAGCAGUUGGUGGACGACCUGAACAAUGAUGGACUUAACCAGUGGAUGCUCGCCAAGCGAGUACCUCCCCAAGCAAACACUAUCUAAGUGUUAAACUAAAGGUUCUCUGGAGGACAUGGUUGCUGGAGUGACUUGGCCGUCCACCUUGCCACCGGGUUGGACUGUUGAGUGGGACCCCGCCUCGGCCGAGGAGGAGCAUGAGGAGUGAUGGGACAGGCUUCUCCAUCUCUCUGUUUAUUCAUCGUUAGUUUUAUUCCGCUGCACUUCGAACAAUGAUGACCACUUUUGCAAAAACUCAGAUGC